CGUGUAGGCGGCUGAGCAAGUCAGAUGUGAAAUCCCUGGGCUUAACCCAGGAAGUGCAUUUGAAACUGCUUAGCUUGAGUAAGGAAGAGGGAAGUGGAAUUCCUGGUGUAGAGGUGAAAUUCGUAGAUAUCAGGAGGAACACCGGUGGCGAAGGCGACUUCCUGGUCCUAUACUGACGCUGAGACGCGAGAGCGUGGGGAGCAAACA
rnacentral:rRNA from 1 species